AGGAGCCGGAUGCGAUGAAAGUCGCACGUCCGGUUCUGAAGGAGAGGUGCAUCGCAGUAAUGCGGACAUCGACUCUAAC
rfam:Crinalium epipsammum PCC 9333, complete genome.